rnacentral:tRNA from 1 species
AAUCCGUCGACUUUAAAAAUCGUGAUAUUUUUUUAUCUUAU